rfam:Octadecabacter temperatus strain SB1, complete genome.
CGGUGGGACACCCUUCCCCAACGAAGGGUCCAAGUCAUUG